rnacentral:rRNA from 1 species
GACGAACGCUGGCGGCGUGCCUAAUACAUGCAAGUAGAACGCUGAAGGAGGAGCUUGCUUCUCUGGAUGAGUUGCGAACGGGUGAGUAACGCGUAGGUAACCUGCCUGGUAGCGGGGGAUAACUAUUGGAAACGAUAGCUAAUACCGCAUAAUAGUAGAUGUUGCAUGACAUUUGCUUAAAAGGUGCAAUUGCAUCACUACCAGAUGGACCUGCGUUGUAUUAGCUAGUUGGUGGGGUAACGGCUCACCAAGGCGACGAUACAUAGCCGACCUGAGAGGGGGAUCGGCCACACUGGGACUGAGGCACGGCCCAGACUCCUACGGGAGGCAGCAGUAGGGAAUCUUCGGCAAUAGACGGAAGUCUGACCGAGCAACGCCGCGGGAGUGAAGAAGGUUUUCGGAUCGGAAAGCUCUGUUGUAAGAGAAGAACGAGUGUGAGAGUGGAAAGUUCACACUGUGACGGUAUCUUACCAGAAAGGGACGGCUAACUACGUG